AGACACUACACAUUGAGUUGCAUUUCUACGGAAUGCUUGCGUCCUUUUCGCAAUGAAACAUUCAACUGCCCAAAAAGGAUGCAAACAGAGGUGGUGAGCAACCGUGAUGUCAUCGGACGUCAACGUGUUAAUUGCCGGUACAUGAUCUGACAAGAGGCGAGUCGUUUGCGGUGUUUCGGGGACACGUGAAAAGAAAGACAUAGGCGUUGGAGACAGUUAACGGAAGUAGUGAGGUGAAGCCAAUCAGCCCGCGUGCUACACAAACUGCGCGACGCGUUAUCAAUCGUUUCUUACAGUGGACGCAUCGUUACGAUUAGUGUCGUUUACCGUUUGCCUAAAUUUAUAGUACAACACCGCACAUAAAGGGCUUAGUAAACGCACUGGGGGGUUUAUUUCAACGGGGGACGUAUACUACGCUCGUACUAUGUCCCGAGAGGGCUUUAUUAGUAAAUCAAGCUAUUAACAGAAGCGGACGCACACACAAACACCUUGGCAAGCAAGUUUGAGCAGAUAUUAAGAAGCAAAAAAUGUACAGCAAAACAGGCAGCAGGUAGCAUACCAAAGCAGCAAUGCAGGCGUUUAGUAAGAUAAAAUAAGUAAACAGUAGCUGCGACAAAGCACACCUGUUUGGUUAGUAUGUCUUAUUGAUUUACAGAACACCUUAGGCAAGCAAAAAUGUAACACCACACGCCCGCACACAUUCCUGUCUUUGUACAUGUGUGCGUGCGUGUGUGUGUGUGUGUUUUUUUUUUUUACUUUACUUGUUUCUGCAGGAAAGGGGAGGACUGUGCAAAAAGUAAGAAGCGACCAGAAGAGACAGAUAGUUAGUUCGUACUACAAUUCGAAAUCUUACCUCUGAGCUCUUUGCGGAACCUGGCAACGUCUUUGGCUUUUAGGCAUACCUUCCCCCAAAAAACUGUAACGCUGCAUUGGUGUCUAUGUGUGUGUGUGUUUGUAUGUGUGUAUGUGUGUGUACGUGUGGUUCGUAUUUAGAGUAUUUGUGAUUAAACAAAAAACAAAAAAAAAACAAAAAAACAAACGCGAACAGAACGAACAUUCCCCAGCAUCGUACCGCAUUCGGCGACGACUCCAUGAGAUAUGCGCGUCGCAGUUUAGCGAACCGUUAGCAAGCUUUCUGUAGCGUGUUGGUGUGAGUGUGUGAGUGGGUGUGUAUUUUAAAAUAAUUUCAAAAUAAGUAGGUCGAAUUGAAGAAUGGUGCUUGUCUUAUUAGCAUAGAACGGAUUGGACACAACUGUCAUACGCCUAUUUCUGACAGCGUCACGCUGUAGGACAACUGACAUUGAUUUAAAAUUUACAUUUGCUAACAUUUAUCUUACACCCACACAUACAAAUACAAAUUAGUAAUCGAAUUCAAUCAAAACUCCUGAAUGUAUGACAUAGUUGCACCAUUUCUUUGUAUGCAGAAACCUGCAACGGACAAUAUGAAGCGCAUUCAUCCGUCAUACCCCAAAAUACCCCCAAAAUAAAAGCAACAACAUCAAAAACACACAGCCAACCACAUAUACACACAUACACACAUCCACAACACUCGAGAGUUGAAGCUGAGACUAGAGGGCAAUUAUUAAAAGAAUAAAGUUUAACGGAAGAAUAAUUGGGCGAAAACUUAGGAAAAAACAACAACAACAGCGAAAUGAUUAAUAAACAAACAUUCGCGUUACUUCGGUUUGCCUGUUUGUUUUAUUAUUUUUAUAUAACUUUGCUUACUUUACUGCCUUUGAGCCUUUGAUUUUUCUAACCGCAAAGUCGAGAGCAGUUGGUUACUAGGCGGACAGGAAAAAUAGAACAGAAAUGGUACAGAAACAGAACAUAUAAAAAAAAACAAAACAAAAAAACAAAACAAAAAACCACACGCGUAUCGUUAA